rnacentral:tRNA from 1 species
GCCAUGGUAGCUCAGUAGGUAGAGCGCGUGCUUGGUAAGCACGAGGUCGCGAGUUCGAUUCUCGCUCAUGGCU